CCCUCACUGCUCAGUCGGUAAAGAAUCUGCCUGCAAUGUAGGAGACCCAGGUUUGAUUCCUGGGUUGGGAA
rnacentral:tRNA from 1 species